GUAUCUUCGGAUAUGAGUAGAGCGGCGGACGGGUGAGUAACGCGUAGGAAUCUACCUAGUAGAAGGGGAUAGCCCGGGGAAACCCGGAUUAAUACCGUAUACCUCCUUCGGGAGAAAGAAGGCCUCUCUUUGAAGCUUUCGCUACUAGAUGAGCCUGCGUAAGAUUAGCUUGUUGGUGAGGUAAAGGCUCACCAAGGCAACGAUCUUUAGCUGGUCUGAGAGGACGAUCAGCCACAUUGGGACUGAGACACGGCCCAGACUCCUACGGGAGGCAGCAGUGGGGAAUAUUGGACAAUGGGCGCAAGCCUGAUCCAGCCAUACCGCGUGUGUGAAGAAGGCCUUCGGGUUGUAAAGCACUUUAAGCAGGGAGAAAAAGUUAUAAGCUAAUACCUUAUAACCUUGAUGUUACCUGCAGAAUAAGCACCGGCUAAUUCCGUGCCAGCAGCCGCGGUAAU
rnacentral:rRNA from 1 species